GUUCUUAUUUCAUUAUUCAAAGACACAGAAGUCUGGAAAUUCCAAUGUUGUGUCGUCUGUCGUGCAUCCGUUGCUGCAGCUCGUUCCUCAACUGCAUGAGAGAAGAAUGAAGAGAUUCAAAGUGGACGAAGAGUUCCAGAGCCCUUUUGCUGGUAAAAGUAGGGGAUACUUUCUAUUCAGGCCACGCAAUGGGAAGAGGUCAACAGGUUUUGUUUAACAUGGCACGUGCUCAAAAAAUAGACCAG